CGCACAUUGCGCCCUUUGAUAUUCCGGAGGGCAUACCCGUUCGAGCGUCAUUACACCACUCAAGCCUGGCUUGGUAUUGGGCGACGAGAUCACCUCCCGCCCCAAUUUCUCCGGCGGGACUGACCCGAAUUGCAAGCGUUGUAAUACAAAUUCGCACCGCAAGAAGGGCUUCCACGCCGUUAAAUAUUGAACAAGGUUGACCUCGGAUCGGGUAAGGAUACCCGCUGAACUUAA
rnacentral:misc_RNA from 1 species